rnacentral:rRNA from 1 species
ACACGGAGGGCGCAAGCGUUGCUCGGAAUCACUGGGCGUAAAGCGGGUGUAGGCGGUCUAGCAAGUCAGAUGUGAAAGCCCACGGCUCAACCGUGGAAGUGCAUCUGAAACUGCUAGACUUGAGUGCCGGAGAGGGAAGUGGAAUUCCUGGUGUAGGGGUGAAAUCCGUAGAUAUCAGGAGGAACACCGGUGGCGAAGGCGACUUCCUGGACGGCCCCUGACGCUGAGACCCGAAAGCGUGGGGAGCAAACAGGAUUAGAAACCCUAGUAGUCC